CCGUGCCCGUCCUAAUCGCCUCUGUCUCCGUCGAAGCCAAGCCCAGCCGCCGCCCAUUCCUUUCCUCUCCGUUCGUGAAGCCCGGUCGCCGCGUCAGAUCGUCGAUCGAUUUUGAGGCAGCGCGCACGUCUCCUUCCAGCCGCGCGUUUCCUCUUCUUCCAGCAGCGUGUUCUUCUUCCAGCCGCAAUUCACAACCGACGUACACUCUAAUCUGUUUGUACGAUCUUUGUUGUUAGGUUCGAUCGUCGCUGCCGCCGUUUUUGUUGUGUUGGAAGUGACAUUGGGUCCCUCGUGUUCAUAACCGAAAUUGUGAAUUUUGGAGUUUGGCUCGCCAAUACUUCGUAUCUUUCGUGGGAUAUAGUUUGUUUAAGAAAUUGAGCAACCUUGAGGCAAAGGUAAUAAAGACGGCAAACCGGCGAGGGGCAGGAAGGAAGCGUGAUUGCCAUAGGGGUUAUUUUAAAUUGCUUAUGCUAAAUGUUUUGUUUCACGUGUUUUGUUUUAGUACUUGAGAUUGUUUAGAAAAUUUUAUAGUUGAACUGUAUUCACGAAUUAGUAAAUUUUUCUUGAAAGUGUUGGUUAUUUUAAACAGGGCCCAGAUAUAAAUUUUUGUUUUCUUGAGACUUUGAAAUUGUUUGAGAUUGAGAUUUUGAGUAAACUCAGGUCUUUAUUUGAAAUUAAUGACUUCGACUUACCUAGAAAAGUUGGGUCGUUACAUGUAUAUUAUGCCAGACUGGUAUAGAAGUAGAUACGAUGGAUAAUGUAUUUGUAAACUGAGAAAGGUGUUAUGUAUAUAUAUAUAUCUUGACUGUC